CCUACGGGUGGCAGCAGUGAGGAAUAUAGGUCAAUGGGCGCGAGCCUGAACCAGCCAAGUAGCGUGAAGGAUGACUGCCCUAAGGGUUGUAAACUUCUUUUAUAAAGGAAUAAAGUGAGGCACGUGUGCCUUUUUGUAUGUACUUUAUGAAUCAGGGUCGGCUAACUCCGUGCCAGCAGCCGCGGUAAUACGGAGAAUCCGAGCGUUAUCCGGCUUUCUUGGGUUUAAAGGGUGCGUAGAUGGGUUGUUAAGUCAGUUGUGAAAUUUUGCGGCUCAACUGUAAAAUUGCAAUUGAUACUGGCAGUCGUGAGUACAGUUGAGGUAGGCGGAAUUCGUGGUGUAGCGGUGAAAUGCUUAGAUAUCACGAAGAACUCCGAUUGCGAAGGCAGCUUACUAAACUGCCACUGACAUUGAUGCUCGAAAGUGUGGGUAUCAAACAGGAUUAGAUACCCGUGUAGUC
rnacentral:rRNA from 1 species